GCCCGAACCUCUGAUUGACCACGUGAAGCAAAGACCAGCUGAAGGAGUACAGGUGAAGGCAAUUCAGCUGUGUGACCAGAAGGGGUGGAGUCAGGCUCCACUUCUCCUAGACCCUAUUUAAGGGCUGGCUACCACUGAGGAAGGAUCUAUUCCUGGAGAUUGCUCCUUGUGGAGUUUUUGUAAGCCUACAACACUGAGAUCACCCAGCCUCAGCAUCCAGACUUUGUUGCUCCAACUAGACAAGUCUCAGGUCACACCCCAAGGAGUGGGAGACACCCAAGCCACAGGAUUGACACACAGAAGUGACCUGACUCCCCAUCAGAAUGUUGCAGUUUCACUGCCAUUGAUUGACAAAGGCAGCAUUCUUUAAUCUAGGGGAAAAGAACAUGCAUAUAUGUAUCAGCCCAGGUAUUGCUUGGCUGUACCCAGUCAAAUCUGAGAUAUGCUGUGAGUCUGAGCCCCCAUGGUCAUUGGCUGGGUGCUGGGGCUAGUGCCCUGGAUUUCGUUGCAAAAUCUUCAGAAUUUGAAGACUCAGCUAGUGACUCUUAGUGCUAGUGAAUUAGUCUGAUGCUUGUCACUGGAUGUGGAAUCACUGUAUCCCAGCAAAAGUUGCACUGAUAAAUAAAAGUGGGGCAAAUGAUCACAUCCACCCAACUUUUGCACUUGAAAUCAUCUGAGAAUUAACCUUCUGGCUAAAAAAUAAAAAAUAAAAAAAUAGUAUGAUAAAUGAGCUGAUUUAAUACUAAUGCCAUGGAAUGCUGUGCUAAAGUAGACUUUAUUUCACUGCUUCAGUAGGUAAUAUAACUAACAGAUAAGACCACACAGGACAUUAAUUUUUAGCUCAUGUGUCUCUUCCAGUAAUACAGUAAUGUUUGGCAGAAGGGUGAACUUAAUAUAUAAAACAGAUUUCUUUUUUUCUUUAUGAUAUUCUAAUGAUAAAGGCUAUAUAGAAACCUAAAGUUCUGAGGGAAAUCCUUGUUUGCAACAAAUACUGCUCUUAAACUUUGUGACUAGCAGGCCUUGCUUCUAAAUGACUCCACAUAAAAUGUGGCAAAACAUGUGUUAACCUGAGAAUAAGGAUGCACCCCAGCCUGCCACUGUCCCUAUCGCCCAAGCAAAAUCACAGAUGUACUGGGCUGAAGCAGUCAGGGUGCUCAUUCUUUCUACACUCUUCCUGUUACUAAUUUGGCCAAGUGUUUUUUGUGAGACUAAAUGGAUGAUUUAAAAGCUUUGUUGGAUGCGUUCAGCCCCUGUAACCUUUC
rnacentral:lncRNA from 1 species